GACGAACGCUGGCGGCGUGCUUAACACAUGCAAGUCGAACGGAAAGGCCUUCUUUCCCUUGUGUAUUGCGGGUACUCGCGUGUCGAACGGAUGAGUAACACGUGCGUUAUCUUCCCCCAACUUUGGUAUAAGCCGGGGAAACUAGCGCUAAUUCCCGAUUGGUCUGCAGGGUGGUUCGGGUGGUGGAAGAGGAUUUUCUAGUGGUUGGGGCUGAGCUGGCGGCCUGUGAGCUUGUUGGUGGGGGAAUGUCGUACCGAGGCGGGGACGGGUAGGCGGCCUGGGAGGGUGGGCGGCCGCAUUGGGACUGAGAUACGGGCCAGACUCUUACGGGAGGCAGCAGUGGGGAAGCAUGAACAAUGGGCGGAACACUGAGGCAGCGAGGCCGCGGGGGGGAUGACGGCCUCCGGGUGGUGACCUUCUUUCGACCGCGAGGAAGCCCCCGGGUUGGAAGGGUGGUGACGGUAGUGGUAGAAGAAGCACCGGCUAACUACGUG
rnacentral:rRNA from 1 species